GGGGAGGUGGGGAGGGACAGAGGAGCCUGAUGUGCUGCAGUCCAAGGGGCCCCAAAGAGUUGGACACAACUUAACGACUGAAGAAAGACAACAGUGGAGAAUGGGUGGUGGGUGUCCUCUGAGCGUGUGCUUGACUCAAGGGGCCGGACUACUCUCUCGUCCGUGGGAUUGUCCAGGCAAGAACACUAGAGUGAGUUGAAUUUACUUCUCCAGAGGAGCUUCCCUGACCCAAGGAUCGAACCCACGUCUUUUCCAUCUCCUGCAUUAGCACUUCAGCACUGAGCUACCAGGGGGAGCCCUCUGCUCCUGCUGGCUAUUGCAAUGAGGGAACAAAACUUAUGAUCAGAACAAAUUCUGCAAGAGAAACCAAAAAUCUGGGUUCUUAGCUACUUCGAUUUCUCAGAGUUUCAGAUAAAACAAGCAGAAGUCUGGGGCACAUCAACCUGCAGGCUUCUCGCUGAGAAGUCCUGAACACGGACGAUCCAGAAGUUGCAGAAGUAUUUCCAUUACUUUACUUCUGAGACCCCAGCCGGAGGGAGAGGAGUAUAUUGGCAUUCAGGGCAGGGCUGCUGUGUGUGGUUGUGUAGGCUGGGCAGUGACCGGGACACACACACCACGAGUCCCUGUUGACAUAGUCCAGUGAAAGAUGUCUAUGUUUAUUAAGAUAGUUUUUUCAGCAGAUAGCAGUAUUUUGUUCUUAGAAGACUGCGCGUUAUGACAGUUUUCCAAUAACGGAAGUAAAUCGCCUUGAAGAAGUCUUCUGUUGCUUGCUUUUCACCUGUUGACGGGACUUGUGGCCACUCUGGUAAAGAGAAGUAUGGGUUCAAAGGAUGGUGUGCAGGAAGGCUGAAGUCAGAUGAGAUUCGGCCUUUUGAGCCUGCUGUUUGUAAACGCUAAACUACUUUUUCGGCACAUUUAUUAGGAGGAAAGGGCUGUAGCUUUCCCCAGAGGGUGCCAGACCGCUGACCCCAGCUGAGAAUUCCCACUUUGUCCCUCUUCUCAGGGAGCGCUCAGCUCUGCGGGUCUCUGCAGCGGCUAUGUGCGGGAUUCCGCUUCCGUCCCGCGGCCUGCCAGCACGGCCCCUCACAGAGGAGCUGCUCACAACUGGGAAGCCAUUCAAGAAAUGACAUCUGAAUACCCAGAAAUGGAAUAUCUAUCUUCAGUCCAGCCAACAAGUCUACACAAUGCCAAGAAGGUGUUGGCUGUGCUUGUGUGUUCUCUAUCGCAUACUUGAUGGACACCCGAAAUCACCAGGUGGGUAUCUUGUUUGAUGGACGCCCGAAAUCACCAGGUGGGUAUCUUGUUUG
rnacentral:lncRNA from 1 species